rnacentral:rRNA from 1 species
AUUGAACGCUGGCGGCAGGCCUAACACAUGCAAGUCGAACGAGUGGCGGACGGGUGAGUAAUGUCUGGGAAACUGCCCGAUGGAGGGGGAUAACUACUGGAAACGGUAGCUAAUACCGCCUACCAUCGGAUGUGCCCAUAGGGGAUUAGCUAGUCGGGGGGGUAACGGCUCACCUAGGCGACGAUCCCUAUCUGGUCUGAGAGGAUGACCAGCAAAACUGGAAUUGAGACACGGUCCAGACUCCGACGGGAGGCAGCAGUGGGAAAUAUUGCAAAAGGGGCGAAAGCCUGAGGCAGACAUGCCGCGUGUAUGAAGAAGGCCUUCGGGUUGUAAAGUACUUUCAGCGAGGAGGCGUUACUCGCAGAAGAAGCACCGGCUAACUCCGUGCCAGCAGCCGCGGUAAUUC